GCCUACGGGGCGCAGCAGUAGGGAAUUUUCGUCAAUGGGCGCAAGCCUGAACGAGCAAUGCCGCGUGAACGAGGAAGGUCUUCGGAUCGUAAAGUUCUGUUGCAGGGGAAAAAGAGCGGAGAGAGGAAAUGGUCUCCGAUUGAUAUUACCCUUCGAGGAAGUCACGGCUAACUACGUGCCAGCAGCCGCGGUAAUACGUAGGUGGCGAGCGUUAUCCGGAAUGAUUGGGUGUAAAGGGUGCGUAGACGGAGAAACAAGUUGGUUGUGAAAUCCCUCGGCUCAACUGAGGAACUGCAACCAAAACU
rnacentral:rRNA from 1 species